rnacentral:rRNA from 1 species
UACAGGGGGUGCAAACGUUGCUCGGAAUUAUUGGGCGUAAAGCGCGCGUAGGCGGCCGCUUAAGUCGGAUGUGAAAGCCCCUGGCUCAACUGGGGAAGUGCACCCGAAACUGGGUGGCUUGAGUACUAAAGAGGGUCGCGGAAUUCCCGGUGUAGAGGUGAAAUUCGUAGAUAUCUGGAGGAACACCGGUGGCGAAGGCGGCAUCCUGGACCGACACUGACACUGAGGAGCGAAAGCCAGGGGAGCAAACGGG